CCUACGGGAGGCAGCAGUGGGGAAUAUUGCGCAAUGGGCGAAAGCCUGACGCAGCGACGCCGCGUGAGGGAUGAAGGUCUUCGGAUCGUAAACCUCUGUCAGCAGGGAAGAACGGUCACUGUGCUAAUCAGCCGUGAAUUGACGGUACCUGCAAAGGAAGCACCAGCUAACUCCGUGCCAGCAGCCGCGGUAAUACGGAGGGUGCGAGCGUUAAUCGGAAUUACUGGGCGUAAAGCGCUCGUAGGCGGUAUGUCAAGUCAAGGGUGAAAUCCCCGCGCUCAACGUGGGAACUGCCUUUGAAACUGGCGACCUGGAGUGGGUGAGAGGAUAGUGGAAUUCCAGGUGUAGGAGUGAAAUCCGUAGAUAUCUGGAGGAACAUCAGUGGCGAAGGCGACUAUCUGGCACAUAACUGACGCUGAGGAGCGAAAGCGUGGGUAGCAAACAGGAUUAGAUACCCGGGUAGUC
rnacentral:rRNA from 1 species